UCCAACAUGGAGACAUGUGUGCUUUGUCAAAUUCCACAAAGGGAGGCAUGCUGGAGGGGAAGAAAGAACACAGAUUCUGAACUCUGGACUCCGAGGACACUAAUUUUAGUACAUUGUUUUUAAACUUGGGAAAAUCACUUAAAUUCUUUAAAUGUCAGCCUUCUCAUUUAUCAAAUGAGGAUGAUAAUGCAGACUACAAAUUUUUGGACAUCCUCAAAUGCAGAAAGCCUUCAAAUGUGGAUGUGGCAGAUACUGUUGGCCUAACGAAGAAGCAGAAACCACUUGAAUAUUUACACAGAGAGGAGCCAGUGCAGGAGAUUGGUGACCGAGAGAUUGGAAGAGCCAAAUGGAGGAUGGUGCUGAUUUGACAUUUCCCAGCCCCGAUGAAUCUAUGGAUUUGGAAAUAACUGGGUCCUCUCUAUAUAUACCGUGAUGUUAUCUCCCCAAAUGAAGGAAAUGGGAAACAGGAAAGGCCUCGAUUCCCUGCAGAUAGCUCUCAUGGUCUACAAUGAGAAUUCAAAUACUACAAAAAGCAUUAGGCAAAAUUUAAAACACAAAUCACUGGUGUUUAACAUGAUAUAUUGCAAAGAAAUUUCUGGCACUCAAAAUCUCUCUUUAAGCAACACUUCCACACAGCGCCAACUAAAUAAUGUAACAGCAUCUGGACGCCUUCUAAAUCGAGUAUGAAAUUAUGUAUUUCUCCCGUGACACAGAUGAGACCAAAAGGCAACAUUUCCUAAAAUAAAAAAUGAAGAGUAAAUUAAGU